GGGGCAACCUGGCGGCGAGUGGCGAACGGGUGAGUAAUAUAUCGGAACGUACCCWRGAGUGGGGGAUAACGUAGCGAAAGUUACGCUAAUACCGCAUACGAUCUAAGGAUGAAAGUGGGGGAUCGCAAGACCUCAUGCUCCUGGAGCGGCCGAUAUCUGAUUAGCUAGUUGGURGGGUAAAGGCCUACCAAGGCWWCGAUCAGUAGCUGGUCUGAGAGGACGACCAGCCACACUGGAACUGAGACACGGUCCAGACUCCUACGGGAGGCAGCAGUGGGGAAUUUUGGACAAUGGGCGMAAGCCUGAUCCAGCAAUGCCGCGUGAGUGAAGAAGGCCUUCGGGUUGUAAAGCUCUUUUGUCAGGGAAGAAACGGUGRGGGCUAAUAUCUCUUGCUAAUGACGGUACCUGAAGAAUAAGCACCGGCUAACUACGUGCCAGCAGCCGCGGUAAUACGUAGGGUGCAAGCGUUAAUCGGAAUUACUGGGCGUAAAGCGUGCGCAGGCGGUUUUGUAAGUCUGUCGUGAAAUCCCCGGGCUCAACCUGGGAAUUGCGAUGGAGACUGCAAGGCUAGAAUCUGGCAGAGGGGGGUAGAAUUCCACGUGUAGCAGUGAAAUGCGUAGAGAUGUGGAGGAACACCGAUGGCGAAGGCAGCCCCCUGGGUCAAGAUUGACGCUCAUGCACGAAAGCGUGGGGAGCAAACAGGAUUAGAUACCCUGGUAGUCC
rnacentral:rRNA from 1 species